rnacentral:rRNA from 1 species
UACGGAGGGAGCUAGCGUUGUUCGGAAUUACUGGGCGUAAAGCGUGCGUAGGUGGUUUGUUAAGUCUGAUGUGAAAGCCCUGGGCUCAACCUGGGAACGGCAUUGGAAACUGGCUUACUAGAGUGCGGUAGAGGGGUGUGGAAUUCCCGGUGUAGCAGUGAAAUGCGUAGAUAUCGGGAGGAAUAUCUGUGGCGAAGGCGACACCCUGGACCAGCACUGACACUGAGGCACGAAAGCGUGGGGAGCAAACAGG